rnacentral:lncRNA from 1 species
CUGGGUCCAGAGCCCCAUGAUCCUUGACAGUCUAACAAGCAGGAUUGACUCAAUUAUUUCAUGCCCAGGACCUUCAUCUAACAAAGAAAUGUACUAGAUGGGAAGGAGAGGAAAGAAAGAAGAGAUGGAAUAAGGGAGAGACAGAGUUAUUAAAGCAAAACCUUCUUAUAUCAGGAUAUUUUAUUACCCUGAAGAUACCCAUAGUAGUGCACCAAUAGAAUAUUGAUAGCUAUGUAUAUAUACACUCACACAUAUAUGAGUGUGUAAAUAUAUGUAGGUGUGUGUAGAUAUAUGAAUAUAUAGGUAAUGUAUUCUAAUGCAUAAAAUCUGUAAAGACUCCAUUGAACAUGCGUGUAAGUCAUGUUAAAACGGAAAUGCUAAAGGCCUUUGAAAAGCUACUUUCUACAUUUCAGGCCAAGUUGCCCAUCUCAGCCAGUAGAACAGGAAUAGGAGACGCCGGGCAACUGAAUUUAUCAGUGGCAUUCAGAGACCACUGGCGGAUCUGGGGAGUUCUGAUUUCUUGCCUGGGGAAGGUGGCCUGGCUGAGCAGGAGAUGGAGGGGAUUUCCCCAGCUGAACUGGAGCAGGUCUGGGUUGAUCCAGAGACAGGGCAUCAGGGUCUCCUGCGAUGCCCAGUUCAGGAGCAGCCACACUAAGCAACAGCUUCUCAUGUGAGAGGCAGAGCUCCAGGACUCUGCUGCGACGGUGAUCUCAUCUGGAGUCUUUAAGUUCGCACUGUAACCGAGCACAGACCUGGCCGCUCGCAGCUUGCACAGCUGGUAACAAGGAUGAAGUACAGGGAUAGGAAAGUGACUGUAUUCGAGCUAGCAGUGGGAAAGUAGCCAGUUUACACAUCCAGAAACGGCUUCAAACUUUAGGCUUGGAAGAGGUUAUUCAAAGCGGGACCUUGGAAUGGGAGGCAUGCUGGCGUGGUGCUGAGUACAAAGUCUGUGUGUCCUGUUACCACUGUAACAGGAGCUGUGGUCCACCUGGGGCCCCAACUGGCAUCAUCUCAACAUCUCAUAUAUUGCGGGUGGGAAUGCAAAAUGAUGCAGCCACUCUGGAAAAUAGUUUGGACAUUUUUUAUAAAACUACCGUGUGAUCCACCAAUGGCAAUCCUGGGCAAGUAUCCCAGAAAAAUGAAAAUUGAUGUUCACGCAAAAAUCUGUACAUAAAUGUUUAUAGCAUCUUUUAUUCAUGACAGCCUAAAACUGCAAACUAUCCAGAUGUCCUUUAAUAUGUGAAUAGCUAAACAAACUGUGGUACACUCAUACUGUGAAUGCUACAUGGCCAUCAAAAGGAACAAACCAGUAUUCCAUGCACCUUCCUGGAUGAAUCUCUAGGGAAUUAUGCUCAAUGAAAAAAGUUAAUCCUGAAAGGUCUCCUAUUGUAUGAUUCCAUUUUCAUAACAUUCUAGAAACCAAAACUAUAAAAUGAAGAGAAAGUUAGUGGAUGACAGGGGCCAAGGAAUAAAGGCAGGGAGAGGAAGGGAACUGGGUGUAGUGGUAGAAAGACAACAUGAGAGAUCCUUGUGGUAAACAAAUGAUUCCAUAUCUUGAUGGUGUCAAUGUCAAUGUCCUGGUUGUGAUACUGUACUAUAGUUUUGGAAGAUGUUAACACUGGGGAAAACUGGAUAUUGAUGACAUUGAUGGUAAAGAGUGCACGUGCUAUUUCUGAAUUAUUUCUUACAACUGCAUGUGAAUCUACAAAUAUCCCAGAAUAAAUAAUUUUUAAAGCAAUAUUGUAUUGGUAUGGUAAAACAAAUAGACUAAUGGAAUCAAAUAGAGACUCCACAUAUAAACCCUAUUAGGUUUGUUACCUCAGAAGCGGACCACAAAACAA